CAAAUCUUCAUCUUCAAGAUGAAGGUCAUUGCUCAAACUAUUCUUUGGUUUUCUUUCCACGUACCAUAUAUGAUCAGAUGUGUCAGGCCUAUUAUCGGAGAUGACAGAAAUUGGAUUUGUAUCCUGAUGGCCAGUCCUUAAUUUGUGGCUUGAUUGAACGGGCCGUUUGUCUAAAUUUGCUGAGUUUUUUACAUAGGAGGACUUGAUGACAGGUGGAUCUCUGUGAACAAUGGGCGGAAAUGCUUCAUGAUUAUUACUCGCGGCAUGUACAAGGUUUUUGUUGUCUUUACCUUGUCCUAAACUACAUUCAUUUAUCACAGAACCUGUUAUUCACAAUUACUAGUCAGUGAAAUAUUACUGCAUCGGAUGUAUAGUUGGCAUAGCUACUAGUGUCAUAUUCAAACACCAGCAGCAUUGUAGCAUGAUGCCAAGCUUUUAUAAGUGGUU
rnacentral:lncRNA from 1 species